rnacentral:tRNA from 1 species
CAGGGAAUAGUUUAAAUAGAACUUCAGCUUUGGGUGUUGAUAGUGGGGCUAU